GCAGGAGCCAGCCAGAGCUCCCCGGACGAGGUGCGUCGUACCCGGCUUGCGACAAGACGGCGCGUG
rnacentral:ncRNA from 1 species